rnacentral:rRNA from 1 species
GUCCACGCCGUAAACGAUGGAUGCUAGCCGUUGGUGGGUUUACCCUUCAGUGGCGCAGCUAACGCAUUAAGCAUCCCGCCUGGGGAGUACGGUCGCAAGAUUAAAACUCAAAGGAAUUGACGGGGGCCCGCACAAGCGGUGGAGCAUGUGGUUCAAUUCGAAGCAACGCGCAGAACCUUACCAGCCCUUGACAUGUCCCGUAUGGGUUUCAGAGAUGAGACCCUUCAGUUCGGCUGGCGGGAACACAGGUGCUGCAUGGCUGUCGU